rnacentral:rRNA from 1 species
AUUGAACGCUGGCGGCAUGCCUUACACAUGCAAGUCGAACGGCAGCAUGAUCUAGCUUGCUAGAUUGAUGGCGAGUGGCGAACGGGUGAGUAAUACAUCGGAACGUGCCCUGUAGUGGGGGAUAACUAGUCGAAAGAUUAGCUAAUACCGCAUACGACCUGAGGGUGAAAGUGGGGGACCGCAAGGCCUCAUGCUAUAGGAGCGGCCGAUGUCUGAUUAGCUAGUUGGUGAGGUAAAGGCUCACUAAGGCGACGAUCAGUAGCUGGUCUGAGAGGACGAUCAGCCACACUGGGACUGAGACACGGCCCAGACUCCAACGGGAGGCAGCAGUGGGGAAUUUUGGACAAUGGGGGCAACCCUGAUUCAGCAAUGCCGCGUGUGUGAAGAAGGCCUUCGGGUUGUAAAGCACUUUUGUCCGGAAAGAAAUCGCACUUACUAAUAUUAGGUGUGGAUGACGGUACCGGAAGAAUAAGGACCGGCUAACUACGUGCCAGCAGCCGCCGUAACAC